rnacentral:rRNA from 1 species
GAUGAACGCUAGCUACAGGCUUAACACAUGCAAGUCGAGGGGAAACGGCAUCGAAAGCUUGCUUUUGAUGGGCGUCGACCGGCGCACGGGUGAGUAACGCGUAUCCAACCUGCCCAUCACCUGGGAAUAACCUUGCGAAAGUAAGACUAAUGCCCAAUGACAUCCCACGAAGGCAUCCGAAUGGGAUUAAAGAUUUAUCGGUGAUGGAUGGGGAUGCGUCUGAUUAGCUUGUUGGCGGGGUGACGGCCCACCAAGGCAACGAUCAGUAGGGGUUCUGAGAGGAAGGUCCCCCACAUUGGAACUGAGACACGGUCCAAACUCCUACGGGAGGCAGCAGUGAGGAAUAUUGGUCAAUGGGCGAGAGCCUGAACCAGCCAAGUAGCGUGCAGGAUGACGGCCCUAUGGGUUGUAAACUGCUUUUAUAAGGGAAUAAAGUGGGUCACGUGUGACUUUUUGCAUGUACCUUAUGAAUAAGGACCGGCUAAUUCCGUG